rnacentral:rRNA from 1 species
CGGGGGGGCAAGCGUUGUUCGGAAUUACUGGGCGUAAAGGGCGCGUAGGCGGCCUGCUAAGUCACACGUGAAAUCCCUCGGCUCAACCGGGGAACUGCGUGUGAUACUGGCGGGCUUGAAUUCGGGAGAGGGAUGUGGAAUUCCAGGUGUAGCGGUGAAAUGCGUAGAUAUCUGGAGGAACACCGGUGGCGAAGGCGGCAUCCUGGACCGAGAUUGACGCUGAGGCGCGAAAGCUAGGGGAGCAAACGGGAUUAGAUACCCCGGUAGUCCUAGCCCUAAACGAUGAGUGCUUGGUGUGGCGGGUAUCGAUCCCUGCCGUGCCGAAGCUAACGCAUUAAGCACUCCGCCUGGGGAGUACGGUCGUAAGGCUG